UACGAAGGGAGCUAGCGUUGUUCGGAAUCACUGGGCGUAAAGCGCACGUAGGCGGAUGUGUCAGUCAGGGGUGAAAUCCCGGAGCUCAACUUCGGAACUGCCUUUGACACAGCACGUCUUGAGUCCGAUAGAGGUGGGUGGAAUUCCUAGUGUAGAGGUGAAAUUCGUAGAUAUUAGGAAGAACACCGGUGGCGAAGGCGGCCCACUGGAUCGGUACUGACGCUGAGGUGCGAAAGCGUGGGGAGCAAACAGG
rnacentral:rRNA from 1 species